GAGAACUCCCGUGAUUAUUGCGUAGAGGCCGUUGCAAGGAGCAGGAUCUCUCUCUCUCUCUCUCUCUCUCUCUCUGUGGGUGGGAAGAGAGCCAGUUUAAGGGCGUCCAUAUCUCUGCUUGUGUAUUCCUGGGUCUGUCUGUCUGUCUGUAUGUAUGUAUGUAUGUAUGUAUGUAUGCCACUUCAGUCUGUCAGUGUUGGGUUGUCUGGGCCUGUUUUAUUUAUAUGUUUGUUGUUGUUGUUGUUGUUUUGUUGUUUUAAGCCUGCAUUGUUUUUCGUCUUUUUCUUCUUCGUCUUCGUUUUCUUCUUUUUUUUCCUUUAUCCUCUUCUUUAACUCUUCUUCUUCUUCUUCUUCUUCUUCUUCUUUUUCUUCUUCUUUUUCCUCUUCUUCGUUUUCUCUUUCCUCCUCCUCCUCCUCCUCCUCCUCUAACUCAUGUCUACUCAGUUCUAAUCAGCCAUAAUUUUUUCCUCUCAAUGUGCAAGCACGCGAAGGUCAACACACACACACACACACACACACACACACACACUCAUAACCACGGUGGCUGCACACAUAAAUAUUUGCACAUCUUUACUGCGCAUUCUGUAAGUCUUUUUAAAACACUGUGCAUUCCUUUACUAUUUUUUAUAACUGUGCGAAAAAAAAAAAUAUGCGUGUGCGUGCGUGCGUGUGUGGGAGAGAGGGAGGGAGAAGGGGGGAGGGUCUGUUCACUAUAAUAGCCUACUUCACUUUAACAACCACAACUAGGCUGUAUUUCACACUAUCUCAGCCUCUUGUAUAUAGUUUGACUCCUGUGGGAUGCUCCGAGGUCUUUAAAUCGAUGCAGUAUAUAUAUUUUUUACCCAGGAGUCAUACCGGGUUCAUCGCCUCCUUACCCCGUGCAUUAUAUCAUUUCACGCGAGUUUAAUCCCUUGAGCGCGCACGGCAGCACAUCGCACAUUGCUCCCUCUCCGGUCACGGCGCGCUGCUCGGUCUUGGCGCUACAUUCUAAAUUCUAAAACAUUCCGGUCCCUUUGCACAUUUCGAUUUCGUAGGCGUUUCGGGCAUUUCCAGAGGUGCUUCUAUGACACUGGUGGUAGUUUGAUCCUUCCUCUGUACCAUGAACGUGACAAAACACUCAUGGGAACCCGAUUAACCACCUUUUUGGGCCUUGGAAGUAGAUGACGUGAGAGGGGAGAGGAGCAGCCAGGGAAGCGUUGAUUGGUGCCUCCACGCCCCGUUACGAACACAGACCGCCACGCCCACCCUCUUAGAAGAUCAGAGUUGACGCCCCUCACGAGCCCCCCAUGUUAAGUUAUAGGAAAAUGUAUAUAUUGGAAAAUGUAGCUAUUGACCUUGUAGAAACUGGCUGUAGACCACCGCUUUACAUCUUAUUUAACAACAAAGGAGACAGCUCAAGGGCACACAAAAAAAGGAAACAAUAAUAAAAAAAAGCCCGCUACUCGCUGCUCCUAAAAAAAGAAUCAAAAGAAGUGGCCGAAAGAGGGGUCAAUUUCGGGAGGAGAGGUUACUACUUUCCCCGCGGAUCUGUUCAUAAGUAGAUUCUUGGAUACACCACACAACCACAACCACCUUCUAUUCCUCUCUCCUCCAUUUCCCAACCGUUCGUGCACCUUAGAAAUCAGCCCCAUAACCUCGACAAUAUUUUUUUAUCCUUCUGUUACUCUCUCUUCCUUCUUCUAUUCCUCUUCCCACCUUUCCUAAAACCUCUCACACCUUUUCAAGUCACCACUACCACCAACAUCACUUUUUAUCAUCCUAUUCUCGUAGCAUUUGAAAUCACUACCACCACGACUAUCAAUUUUUCAUUCUCACUCCUCGCAUUUCUUUUCCCAACUCUUGACAUAUUAAAAUCACUAUCAUCACCACUAACAUCACCUUUUUAUCAUCCUUUUCCUUUAUCGUCCUUUCCCCAACCCUAGAAUCACAACCAUUAUCACCACCAUAUCUACUAGCAACACCAGUUCUACCACCACUAGUAGUAACAACAAUUAAAAACAACAAACAUUACAAUACUCUUUACACGUACCAUAUGUGCUUGCAACCUUCCCCUCCCCACCCCAUCUGCUUUCUUUCUAUCUCUCAUUUCUUAUGCUCCCCCUCUUCCCCUCCUCCCUUCUCUCUCCUUCCUUCCAGCUGAUCAAACAAAGCAUCAUAUAACACGAACAAGCUAAAGCCGGGUUAGUGGUGGUGGUGGUACUGGUGGUUGUGGUCUCGUGUGCUAGUUGUGGUGGAGUUUGUGGUUGCCAGACUGUUUGAGGGGUGGUGGAUGUAAUGUGGAAUGUAAUGUAAUGUGGGUGUGGGAGUUGUUGAUACUGGAACUCUAUAGGAACGUGGAAUUGAAGUUACGCUCCGGUGAAACGUGUAGCCUACUAUAAGGAAAAAACGUUUAGCCUACUAUUAGGAAAAAACGUGUAGCCUACUUUAAGGAAAAAACGUUUAGCCUACUUUAAGGAAAAAACGUUUAGCCUACUAUAAGGAAAAAACGUGUAGCCUACUUUAAGGAAAAAACGUGUAGCCUACUAUAAGGAAAAAACGUUUAGCCUACUUUAAGGAAAAAACGUGUAGCCUACUUUAAGGAAAAAACGUGUAGCCUACUUUAAGGAAAAAACGUUUAGCCUACUAUAAGGAAAAAACGUGUAGCCUACUUUAAGGAAAAAACGUUUAGCCUACUAUAAGGAAAAAACGUGUAGCCUACUUUAAGGAAAAAACGUGUAGCCUACUAUAAGGAAAAAACGUGUAGCCUACUAUAAGGAAAAAAACGUGUAGCCUACUAUAAGGAAAAAACGUGUAGCCUACUAUAAGGAAAACACGUGUAGCCUACUAUAAGGAAAAAACGUGUAGCCUACUUUAAGGAAAAAACGUGUAGCCUACUUUAAGGAAAAAACGUGUAGCCUACUAUAAGGAAAAAACGUGUAGCCUACUAUAAGGAAAAAACGUGUAGCCUACUAUAAGGAAAAAACGUGUAGCCUACUAUAAGGAAAAAACGUGUAGCCUACUAUAAGGAAAAAACGUGUAGCCUACUAUAAGGAAAAAACGUGUAGCCUACUAUAAGGAAAAAACGUGUAGCCUACUAUAAGGAAAAAACAUUAGUAUUGUUAUGUUAAGGGAUGGCAAGCACUUUUUAAACUUCAAGAACGUGGAAUUAAAAAAGAAAAAAAAGGGUUUGCACUCCAUUGAAACGUAUACUAUAAAAGAUUAGCCUAAGAUCAGUAUUGUUAUGUUGGACCGUCCCUUUAAAAACUGAACUUUCGUGGUUAUUUGAUUUUCUUUAAUACAGGAAUAGGAUACAGGAAUUACUAAGAACGUAGCAUAAGAAAAAAAAGCUGUUUAUGCUCCUGUGAAACGCUGUACUAUAAAAAAAUACGGUUGAUAUCAUGUUGAACUGCCCCUUAAAAAAAUAACUCCCUGGAACUAUACGAACGAUGAAUGAUUGGCUAAUAUAAAGGUUUUUACGCCUUGAACAGAAUAUAUUAUGAGACAUAUUGUACAGAGUUAGAUCAUUAAUUCUGUUGUGGUGAGCUGUCUUAAGAUAAUUAACUUUCCUGAUUAUUUGAUUUUCUUACAAGUUUUUUUUUUUCUGUUGUGGUGAGCUGUCUUAAAAUAAUGAACUUUCCUGAUUAUUUGAUUUUCUUACAAUUUUUUUUUUCCCGGGUAUGUUGUCAUGCUAGAUAUCUGCUUGGCUUUCACUCCUCAAAUUCAAUUCUCUGCGUCAUAAGUCCUGUAAGAUAUUGCGGCGCCAAGUGCUUGCUCUGUCAGCCAGUCAAACAGUCUUGCACACUCUUUUACCCUCCCACUCUGUAAGCGAUAAGGGAGUCUUGAGGUUAAGGGCAGAUUUAAAAAAAGGUCAUAUUAGUACUUAUUAAGUUAUGACGCUAGUUUGGCUUUUUGAUUCUAAUUUUGAGACGGAGUUAGUUAGAAGUGUUAGAUUUUCACAGUUAAGUCAACAUAUUACAAUCUGAGUCGUAUAAUCUGAUACAUAACAAAACCAACUAAUAACGCCUUGAAAAACGGGUUAAAAAGGACAAACCAACCAUAUUUUUGUUAGUAAAGCCGUUAGUAAAGUUAUUAGUGAAGACAUAUUUUUAGUGAGGACAUUGGUAAAGACAUCAGUCAUUUGCAUCUUGGCCGUUUGCUGUCAAGUGUCGGGAUGAGUUAUGCAAACCCACACCUUCAAAACUGGUCAACAAACAAAGAAACUAGGAAACCAGCCUCAUUAUUGUUAGUAAAGACGUUAGUAAAGGUUAUAGCAAAGACGUAAGACUCAUUUGCAUCUUGGCCGUUUGCUGUCGAGUGUCGGGAUGAGUUAUGCAAACCAACACCUUCAAAAACUGGUCAACAAAAAAACAAACAAAGAAACCAGCCUCGUUAUUGUUAGUAAAGACGUUAGUAAAGGUUAUAGUAAAGACGUAAGGCUCAUUUGCUUCUCCUCUUGCUGUCGAGUGUCAAGAUGAGUUGUGCAAAACCCUGUAGCUGUUUAUGCGACGAGAGUUACAAGCAAGACGAUGAUGUGGCAGCCUCGUUGUGGUGAUGACUCCGUGUGUUUCCUUAAUGUUUCCCGCGUGACUGACUGUAUGGUUGGUUACACGGUCGUCUGUCUCUUGAGGCUUCUCUUAGGCAAUGGCACUUUCGAAACACACUCCUUCUCGUUGCGUUUGUGAGGAGUUAGAGGAUGCGAAGAGUACUGGCUGUAUCAUGAUGUUAGUUGAUGCUUUGAGUUAGUGGUAUUGAUGUAUUCCGAGCAUGUAUUACAGACAAUCUCUUUCUUUUAGUGUUCAUGAAGAGUUAGAGAGGAGGCGAGGUAGUGGCUGUUAUGUUUAGUGUUUAUUAUGGAAGAAUGUAUUGAAUGUUUUGCUUUGAGGGGUUGGUAUUGAUGUUUUUAGAAUUUAUAUGACAAGUAAACAAACAAAUCCAUUCUCGCACUGUUCUUGAAGAGUUAAAAAGCGUGUCAAAUGUCAUGUCUGAUAUGUUAUGUUUAAAAGGAAGGAUUGAUGCGUUUAGUGACUGAUAUUGACGUGUUCGAAGCUUAUGUUACUGUAAGCUUGUCAAGUUUAGUUAUAUUAGCUUCGCAUUACUGAGGAUUAUUUUCUAUAGACUCUUCAUGAACUCCUAAGACAACGGUCGGUAUUAAGACACUAUCGCUUCUCAAAUCUGCUAUUUCUAAAGGUCAAAGAGGGAGUCAGUCGGGUUCUAAUGAGUCUUUCCUUAGGUUCAUGAUACAGAAGAAGGGUCAUACUACCACCAGGCGCAUAAAACCACAGGAAAUGCCCAAAACUCCUCGGAAAGCCUUGGGAAAUAUGUGACUUGGGUGACGAAAUGUUUAGUAAUACCUACGGCCCUACAUGUUGGUGAUGACAAAGCAUGAUACAAAUUUAGAACCACAGCAAGAGGCAAUUAUUUAUGAAGGUUUAUGAAAGACAGACCACGACAUAGACCGCGAAACUGAUGUAGCAACGUAUAUGCAAUCAGACUUCGUAACUUGGUAAAUGAAAGCGAGGAAUAGCCUAGGAAGUGUUGCGUGCCACAUUCACAGUAGGCUAUUCUAAACCUUAUCAUUAUUAACAUUCCCAGUGUCUAUCCUUACGAUGAAUUUGUCAAGUAACCGUUGCUUGAUUUAUUAAACGUCGUAUUAGUGUUUGCUAGUAAUAAUGUAGUUGAUUUGUUUCUUUUGAUGAGUUUUUGAAGGCGUGGUUAAUAGGCUUCGUUGAUUUUUUUUUAUAUCAGUUUGUACGACUUAGUUUGUAAUGUCUUCUUCACCGUAUGGAAAUCCAACCUUUCUAAAUUACUUCGUCCUCAAAAAGUGGAACUAAAAAGUUAACCCAGCCUCAUAACUAAUAAAUUCUAACAUGGCAAUACGACGUUUAAAAAAUCUAUAUCGUUUAAAAAAUCUACUCGCGAUGAUUUUGUACAGUAACCAUGAGAAGUAUAACCCUGCUGGGAAGAUAUAGCCUCACACAACUUAAAUAGGAGCUGGUCUAUACAGAUAUUAUGAUUGGUAUUCUCAGAUCAACAAUUUCCAGAGAUCGUAAGGAAGUUAAAUCGGGUUCUAAUGAGUAUUUUUUUAGGUUCAUGAUACAGAGGAAUGGCCAAAUUACUACCAGGGUGUUAAAACUAGCUCAGGAAAUGCCCCAAAACUCCUAAGAAAGCCUUGUGGAAUAAUAUAUGUGUACUUGGGCGCCGAAAUGCUGUAGAAUAUAUCCCUGAUUAAAGUUGCAGAAAAAUCUCCUCCUCCGGCAAUGAAGUCAUAAUGAUUUUUUUUUUUUACAGCAGAGGAGUGGAAGGGCGUAAAAAAAAGAAGAGGAGACAGUGCAACGGCGUAAAAAAAAAAAAAGAAAACAAUAUGAAAAAAAAGCCCGCUACUUACUGCUCAUGAAUAGAGUGGCCAAAAAGAGAAAUCAGUAUACGGACAAACUUGCAGCCGUGAAUGUCAAAGGGCUGUCGAACUUGAGCGCUUUCGGAUGGGCGUUAAUUAUGGAGGUGGAUGACUGUACAUGGAAUAUCUGCGGACCUCGUUUAGUGAUAGUUUGCUGGCCCGCUAAUGUUGUUUAUCUUAGGACUGUGUUAAGCAGCUAAGUGUCGCCUCCUCGAGAAAAUGACGGGCUCUUGGGGGAGAUAAUCUUGCUAAACACCACCUCACUCCCUUCUCUCUCUCUCUCUCUCACACACACACACACACACGCACACACACACACAUGAAGGCGCCAGUUGUAAAGACUAAUGUGUAACUUAGGAGGUUUUUACACGCAUAUUGCAUGUUGAAGGGGAGGGAAUGAGAGCGUCUUGAAAUGAUUAGACCGUGUGUUUGUGUGUGUGUGUGUGUGUGUGUUAACCUCCCCCCCCACCACACACACAAACACAGAAUAAUUAUUUCAAGCUCUCAUUCCCUGCCCUUGAACACGCAAAAUGGAGAUGGGAUUCAGUCGGAUAAAACCCAGAUGGAACUCUAAAAAGGGGGAAUGAGAUAUAGAAGACUAGAUGUGUUAAUGAUGUGAAGAUAUUUAGUUCUCCAUAUAAAAGUAUUAAUGUUUGAAAUGCAUUAGAUAAGGUGGUACAAUACAGGCAAGGGACAUUCACGACUUUAAAACUGAGCUGGAUAAAAAUUGAUAGGAGACGAAUACGAAGCUAAUUCUAAUAUAUACUGUAACAACGUAAACACACACACACACACACACACACACACACACACAGACAGAGCUGGAUUGACGUGUCGCACCUAGAGUUACAGAGCUUAAAAUAGUCAUGAGCAAGCUCCGGGAAACUUUGGGCAUUUAACUGUGACGAGGAGAGGGCGUGAAAGAGGAGCCAGCGAGGGAGACGAAGGAUGUGGAGGGGAGGUGAUGGAGGCCUUGAACGACGAAAACGAGAGUCGGUAGGGGGUGCAGGACACUUUCUGUUUUCACAUCAGCUAUUUCUAAAGGUCAAAGAGGGGGUCAAUCGGGUUUUAAUAAGUGUUUUAUUAGGUUCACGAUACAGAGGAAGGGUCAAACUACCACCAGGGUCACAGAACUACUGAAAAUGCCCAAAACUCCUACGAAAGGCUUGACAAAUAGGUGAACUUGGGCGACGAAAUGUUUUAAAAUACGACCGAUAGCCUAUUAUCUCUUGUUCUCUGCUACCUCUUUGAAUCAGUACCGUCACCCAAGCAAUGAUACCAAGUCCGCGAGUCCACCCCUCAAGGAUUAGGCCCGCCAACUCCCGUGGAACCGACUUUAGUGGACCGCUCAAGUAUUCUUCCACCGCCAGCGACCCGGUUCUCGCUUGCUGGUGCCUCCUCCCUUGUUUCUCAAUCCCGGCCGGGCAGUCUCGGGGUCUUAUGGGUCCACCUUAUUAAUGCAACUCCAGCCCUGGCCAGCGCUGUCGUCAGUCAUCCGUGGCUGUUAUGGCGGCCAGAGGUGAAGGGCGAGGAAUGCGAUAAGAGAUCUGAGGGGCGGGGAAAAAAUAGAGGAUGACCGCUGGCGCCAGAGAGUCGGCUCCUGUGUUUGGAUAAUUAAGACGAUUGCUCAGAUGUAAAGUUCAGCCAUUGUGGAGGUUUGGUGGCGUGGUUGUUGUUGUUGCUAGAGCCGUGUUGCCCUGCUUGACAUCACCGGGGAGGAGGGGGGGGGGGGGGGGGCAACCAUGCAGGUGGAGGUUCACGAAGGAGAAUUAAUCACGCCGGAGGGGCCAGGCCAAGGCACGGCGUCUCCCAGAGUUACCAAAUUAUCGUACUCAGACACUCAGCACAUUGUAUUUUCCGGUUCUGAGUCACAGCUAUCGCAAACAAACGCCAAUGAUUGAUGCUUUUAACGAGAACUUUAACUGGAAUUUCGUUAUCUGUGUGGGUAGGAAAGUUUUGGGCCCUGGAACUGAUAAAUGUGAUGUUUUGAGUACGAUAAUUUGGCAACCCUAGCGUCGCCCCAGUCUGACGGAGCGCCGCCACCCCCACCUUGAGUCCCUGGCCGCCACCUGCCCGUCAGCGUGAUGCUCGAUACCUUUCCGUGUGCGGCUAUCGCGUAUUUCUGGGGCGUUAUCAGACUGCCGCUAGUGAUAGGAGGUGAUAGUAGGUGACAUUAAACAAAACAUCCGGGGAUACGAAUCUAUCAUCGACAUAUCAUUCUACACGUGCUGGAGGUUCGAGGAUGAGUCGUAUUUUGUUCCCAUUAUCGUCAUGAAUGUGAAUGCGUCACUUCAUGCUAUAUUAUUUUUUUAUUUGUGACUAACUGGAUUAACCCGGUAGCAGCGACGGGCCAAAUUUGUGGCUUUACCGUGUACCAGCGACGGGCCAAAUUUGUGGCUUUACCGUGUACCAGCGACGGGCCAAAUUUGUGGCUUUACCGUGUACCAGCGACGGGCCAAAUUUGUGGCUUUACCGUGUACCAGCGACGGGCCAAAUUUCUGCCAUUAUGUCAAUCCCCCAAAAUAGAUGAUGCAUAAACUGAUCACAAAUGCGUUGAUAUAUAUUAUGAAAUGGUUUGCGUGAGUGAUGAUUUUUUCUCGCUUAGAGGGAAGGGCCUUUAAGAAACAAAAUCCCCGCAGCUACCAGGUUAAAGUCAACUAUUAUAAAAAAAAAAAUAGAGAGAGAGAGGAUAGAAGCUUUUGAAAUGCUGCUGGUGUUCGUUUCCCGCCCGUGCUUCUUGUCUUUUAAAACAUUCAUAAUCGCAUUCAUGAGUUGGUUUAUUUAUUUAACCGGUUCUAUUUAUAGCACUGAGGGUCGUGUCUCGGGGCAUGGCGGGGGUUGCAGGCAUUCCUCGUACCCUGUGUCCUCAUUUGUAGCAUUUUACCAUUACUCGGCAUUGAAAUUUGCUUCCUUAUGAUAUUGGUAACUGCGUGCAACAAUAUUUUCACUUAGCUUUGGGGCGGUGCGAGAAACCGAGGGUAUUGGGCCGAGGAAGAAGCAAACAGCGGGCUUUUUUUUCAUCUUGUUUCCUUGUUUUUGCCCUUGAGCUGUUUUCUCUGCUGUAAAAAAAGAAAAAAACAAACAAACUUAUAUUCUGCUCAAUUGUGAACUUAAUUCCCUGAUGUAGCCUUAUUAUUAAAUGUGCCCCCGAGUUACGCACGCUAUUAGAAAGUUCGCUUAUUAACUCAACGUGACGCGAACUUAAGCUUGAAACUACGCACUGCUCUUAUCUGUAACUCGUGCAUUAAUUCCACCUUUCCUCCCCCCCCCUUCCACCACCACCCCCACACACUCCCCCCGCAUUUAUUCUACCUUUCCUCCCCUCCCCCCUUCCCCUUCCCCCUCACACACACACACACACACACCGCCUCCGAAUGGUAUCUCAGGGUGCGUCUCUCUCCACGGGACCUGCGUUGCCCUGACCACAGCCGUUGCCAAGCGUGCCCACAAGGUUGUGCCACUCGCGAAGCUGUUGUGGGGCGCGUGCUGCCACUCAGGCCACCCGCAGCCCGUCACGCGGAUCAUCUCGCUGUGUCAAGGGAACGUUUUUUUGUGUGUUUGUGUAGAUAGAUAGAUAAAGAUGUAGAUAGGUAGAUAGAUAGGAAGAGGAAAUGGAAGGUUAAGAGAAUGAGAAAGGAAGAGAAAGACAUGAUUAGCAAUACAUGAGAGAGAGAGAGAGAGAGAGAGAGAGAGAGAGAGAGAGAGAGAGAGAGAGAGAGAGAGAG